UACGGAGGGGGCUAGCGUUGUUCGGAAUUACUGGGCGCAAAGCGCACGUAGGCGGCUUUGUAAGUUAGAGGUGAAAGCCCGGGGCUCAACCCCGGAAUAGCCUUUAAGACUGCAUCGCUUGAACACGGGAGAGGUGAGUGGAAUUCCGAGUGUAGAGGUGAAAUUCGUAGAUAUUCGGAAGAACACCAGUGGCGAAGGCGGCUCACUGGACCGUUGUUGACGCUGAGGUGCGAAAGCGUGGGGAGCAAACAGG
rnacentral:rRNA from 1 species